rnacentral:rRNA from 1 species
GAUGAACGCUGGCGGCGUGCCUAAUACAUGCAAGUCGAGCGAACAGACGAGGAGCUUGCUCCUCUGACGUUAGCGGCGGACGGGUGAGUAACACGUGGAUAACCUACCUAUAAGACUGGGAUAACUUCGGGAAACCGGAGCUAAUACCGGAUAAUAUAUUGAACCGCAUGGUUCAAUAGAGAAAGACGGUUUUGCUGUCACUUAUAGAUGGACCCGCGCCGCAUUAGCUAGUUGGUAAGGUAACGGCUUACCAAGGCGACGAUGCGUAGCCGACCUGAGAGGGUGAUCGGCCACACUGGAACUGAGACACGGUCCAGACUCCUACGGGAGGCAGCAGUAGGGAAUCUUCCGCAAUGGGCGAAAGCCUGACGGAGCAACGCCGCGUGAGUGAUGAAGGUCUUCGGAUCGUAAAACUCUGUUAUUAGGGAAGAACAAAUGUGUAAGUAACGAUGCACGUCUUGACGGGACCUAAUCAGAAAGCACGGCUAACUACGUG